UACGUAGGGUGCAAGCGUUUAAUCGGAAUUACUGGGCGUAAAGCGUGCGCAGGCGGUUUCGUAAGUCUGUCGUGAAAUCCCCGGGCUUAACCUGGGAAUGGCGAUGGAGACUGCGAGGCUAGAGUUUGGCAGAGGGGGGGUAGAAUUCCACGUGUAGCAGUGAAAUGCGUAGAGAUGUGGAGGAACACCGAUGGCGAAGGCAGCCCCCUGGGCCAAUACUGACGCUCAUGCACGAAAGCGUGGGGGAGCAAACAGG
rnacentral:rRNA from 1 species